GAUGAACGCUGGCGGCGUGCCUAAUACAUGCAAGUCGAGCGAAUGGAUUAAGAGCUUGCUCUUAUGAAGUUAGCGGCGGACGGGUGAGUAACACGUGGGUAACCUGCCCAUAAGACUGGGAUAACUCCGGGAAACCGGGGCUAAUACCGGAUAAUAUUUUGAACUGCAUGGUUCAAAAUUGAAAGGCGGCUUCGGCUGUCACUUAUGGAUGGACCCGCGUCGCAUUAGCUAGUUGGUGAGGUAACGGCUCACCAAGGCAACGAUGCGUAGCCGACCUGGGAGGGUGGUCGGCCACACUGGGACUGAGACACGGGCCAGACUCCUGCGGGAGGCAGCAGUAGGGAAUCUUCCGCAAUGGACGAAAGUCUGACGGAGCAACGCCGCGUGAGUGAUGAAGGCUUUCGGGUCGUAAAACUCUGUUGUUAGGGAAGAACAAGUGCUAGUUGAAUAAGCUGGCACCUUGACGGUACCUAACCAGAAAGCCACGGCUAGCUACGUGCCAGCCGCCGCAGUAA
rnacentral:rRNA from 1 species